UAUAUACAGAGAGAGAAUAGUGUUGAAAUGAGGAAUUGUAAUUUUUUAAUUGAAAGAUUUUUUUCCGGUAUAGUUUACAAUAAUGUCUAUUUUUGGCUUAUUAAUUAAACAAAUAUAUAUAAAGUUUUAGAUCAAAUUAACAAAAUUCGUCAAAAGUCAAUAAAUGAAAGGAUAGGCAAACAAAUUAAAAUAUAAAUAAAUGAAUUUAAAUAAAAAAAACAUAUAAUAUUCUUAAUGUCUUUUUUUUCUUAAAAAAUGUUCUUCGUCAAAUUUGUGAUCCACUCCCAGAAUUUAACUCUGAGGCAUUAGAUAAGGAUUGGCACACUGGUCAGCUUCAGUGUCAUGAUAACCUUGUUAUGCAAUUCUCCUGCUGGGCAGCGCGUUACAGUGUAUAGUGGUUUGCAGCUUAUCUAGGCCAAAUUUUGAAUUCUGGUAAACAAGAUGUGCGCGCUUACUCCCUGCCGAUUUGAAUGAGAAGACUUUACAUCGUAUAAACCACAAAAAUAACCUCGGGAUUUAUUAACUCGGAAUGCAUGGUGUUAGUGCCAUCAUCCGUUUGAAUUCCCACAUUCAAAAGACCCGCCUUUGGUGAAGGCAAAGGUGCCGUGCUAUUCUUUCUGAGGGGCAGAUUCCUUGUCAGCGUUUUCAGUGUAUGUGAUUCUAACGUUUAACUUUAGAUCCGCCGCCCUGUUCGACCUAUACAGUGAACAUAGGAUUUCUGUGAUUCUUUUCUUUUAAAAUUAUGUGAAUGGAUUAGACGCCGUUUUCACCCUUUAAAACCCGCUGACUUGAAAGAAAAUAAGUUAAACUUGUACCGAUAAUGGAACUUAAAUGUGAUUUACAUAUUGAAUAUGGGUUUGUAUUAAAGGUUCAAAGAUAAAAUAUAAUUUGUGUUUAUUUCUUUUAAAAUAUAAAUAUAUCAUUAUUUAAUGAGUAAAAGUGACAUUUCAGGAAAAAUACUUUGGUAACAUUCGACUUAAACAUGUUAAAAUGUUUUAAAAACGA